UGAACGCUGGCGGCGUGCCUACUACAUGCAAGUCGAGCGAACAGACGAUGAGCUUGCUCCUCUGACGUUAGCGGCGGACGGGUGAGUAACACGUGGAUAACCUACCUAUAAGACUGGGAUAACUUCGGGAAACCGGAGCUAAUACCGGAUAAUAUAUUGAACCGCAUGGUUCAAUAGUGAAAGACGGUUUUGCUGUCACUUAUAGAUGGAUCCGCGCCGCAUUAGCUAGUUGGUAAGGUAACGGCUUACCAAGGCAACGAUGCGUAGCCGACCUGAGAGGGUGAUCGGCCACACUGGAACUGAGACACGGUCCAGACUCCUACGGGAGGCAGCAGUAGGGAAUCUUCCGCAAUGGGCGAAAGCCUGACGGAGCAACGCCGCGUGAGUGAUGAAGGUCUUCGGAUCGUAAAACUCUGUUAUUAGGGAAGAACAAAUGUGUAAGUAACUAUGCACGUCUUGACGGUACCUAAUCAGAAAGCCACGGCUAACUACGUG
rnacentral:rRNA from 1 species